UACGAAGGGGGCUAGCGUUGCUCGGAAUCACUGGGCGUAAAGCGCACGUAGGCGGGUUCUUAAGUCAGGGGUGAAAUCCUGGAGCUCAACUCCAGAACUGCCUUUGAUACUGGGAAUCUCGAGUCCGGGAGAGGUGAGUGGAACUGCGAGUGUAGAGGUGAAAUUCGUAGAUAUUCGCAAGAACACCAGUGGCGAAGGCGGCAUCCUGGACCGGUAUUGACGCUGAGGAGCGAAAGCCAGGGGAGCAAACGGG
rnacentral:rRNA from 1 species